AGCAACUCUUUCUUCCUCCCAUUUAUUGUUUUUCUCAUUUCUUUCGGAUCCCAUGUCUCUGUAAAACGAAAAAUACCUCUUUCCCCCACAUUUUUCCCUCCUUUCCACAGCUGCUUCUGCAUCCUCGCUAAACGUGGCUUCCGUGCUGCAACCAACAGCCCAGCUAUCUACACACCUCCGUGUUUCUCGAACACAACCAUGGUGACAAGAGUGGAAAAGCUGAGAUGAAGGAAGCUGUGUGAGGACCCCCAAGAGUUGCAAAUCCGAGCCGACCUACACCACGUCCUUGUCUUUGCGGAAACCCGAAACCCUUCAACUUCUGCCAUGGAAAUGUGAAGGUCCUCGAUCUGGAAGCUUAACCAUGACAAGAAAAAUGAAAACCAGCUACAAUGUAGAUCCAGUUCCUGCAAAAGAUCCGUGACAGACCGGAGAAAGAACUCUCAAAAUGAAAAUCCACUGGACAUAAAGCAUGGCACAUCAUGAAAGUCUUGAUCUAUCGAUUAUGAAGGAAAUGUGGAUCACUAAUAGAUCCGUGGGAAAUAAAGUGGACGGACAAACAUCAGCUUCAAUAGACAAAAACGGCACAAGCUUCCAAGAGCCCAGAUCGGUGAAUCUGGGACGUAAAAUUUCAUAUCCUUGCAAGUUGAAUUGUUGUAGAUCUGGUAAUAAAAGUUGUACUCAGUUUUGUGGUGUAUGGAUUUGUGAUUUAACUGUGGUUCUCCUCCAUGCAUCGCAAAACUGAGCUGCAGAAAAUUAACUGGUCAAAAUUUUGUCUCUGUGCUGGAUCUGCAACAAUCUCCCCCAAACUUGCAUCUAUGAAUGACUUGUUAUGUUGAGUGCUUUAAA